GAUGAACGCUGGCGGCGUGCCUAAUACAUGCAAGUCGAGCGAACAGAUGAGGAGCUUGCUCCUCUGACGUUAGCGGCGGACGGGUGAGUAACACGUGGAUAACCUACCUAUAAGACUGGGAUAACUUCGGGAAACCGGAGCUAAUACCGGAUAAUAUAUUGAACCGCAUGGUUCAAUAGUGAAAGACGGUUUUGCUGUCACUUAUAGAUGGAUCCGCGCCGCAUUAGCUAGUUGGUAAGGUAACGGCUUACCAAGGCGACGAUGCGUAGCCGACCUGAGAGGGUGAUCGGCCACACGGGAACUGAGACACGGUCCAGACGCCUACGGGAGGCAGCAGUAGGGAAUCUUCCGCAAUGGGCGAAAGCCUGACGGAGCAACGCCGCGUGAGUGAUGAAGGUCUUCGGAUCGUAAAACUCUGUUAUUAGGGAAGAACAAAUGUGUAAGUAACUAUGCACGUCUUGACGGUACCUAAUCAGAAAGCCACGGCUAACUACGUG
rnacentral:rRNA from 1 species